CGGACGGGUGAGUAAUGUCUGGGAAACUGCCUGAUGGAGGGGGGUAACUACUGGAAACGGUAGCUAAUACCGCAUAACGUCGCAAGACCAAAGAGGGGGACCUUCGGGCCUCUUGCCAUCGGAUGUGCCCAGAUGGGAUUAGCUAGUAGGUGGGGUAACGGCUCACCUAGGCGACGAUCCCUAGCUGGUCUGAGAGGAUGACCAGCCACAUGGAACUGAGACACGGUCCAG
rnacentral:rRNA from 1 species